rnacentral:sRNA from 1 species
CUUAUGGCAGCAUGAGGAAAGCUCCAGGGAGUGAUCCCUUCAUGUCCUCAGGGCAGGGCCCCAAUGGCGGGAUGGGUGACCCCUACAGUCGUGCUGCCGGCCCUGGGCUAGGAAAUGUGGCGAUGGGACCACGACAGCAUUAUCCCUAUGGAGGUCCUUAUGACAGAGUGAGGACGGAGCCUGGAAUAGGGCCUGAGGGAAACAUGAGCACUGGGGCCCCACAGCCGAAUCUCAUGCCUUCCAACCCAGACUCGGGGAUGUAUUCUCCUAGCCGCUACCCCCCGCAGCAGCAGCAGCAGCAGCAACGACAUGAUUCCUAUGGCAAUCAGUUCUCCACCCAAGGCACCCCUUCUGGCAGCCCCUUCCCCAGCCAGCAGACUACAAUGUAUCAACAGCAGCAGCAGGUUUUGUAUAUUUUUCUACUUAAGCAAGGGAAGGGAAGAAAGAGUGGUGGUUGCUUUUGGAAACAACUUCAAAAGAUAAUUUGUUAAGAAUUACAAGCGGCCAAUGGAUGGCACAUAUGGCCCUCCUGCCAAGCGGCACGAAGGGGAGAUGUACAGCGUGCCAUACAGCACUGGGCAGGGGCAGCCUCAGCAGCAGCAGUUGCCCCCAGCCCAGCCCCAGCCUGCCAGCCAGCAACAAGCUGCCCAGCCUUCCCCUCAGCAAGAUGUGUACAACCAGUAUGGCAAUGCCUAUCCUGCCACUGCCACCGCUGCUACUGAGCGCCGACCAGCAGGCGGCCCCCAGAACCAAUUUCCAUUCCAGUUUGGCCGAGACCGUGUCUCUGCACCCCCUGGCACCAAUGCCCAGCAAAACAUGCCGCAAAUGAUGGGCGGCCCCAUACAGGCAUCAGCUGAGGUUGCUCAGCAAGGCACUAUGUGGCAGGGGCGUAAUGACAUGACCUAUAAUUAUGCCAACAGGCAGAGCACGGGCUCUGCCCCCCAGGGCCCCGCCUAUCAUGGCGUGAACCGAACAGAUGAAAUGCUGCACACAGAUCAGAGGGCCAACCACGAAGGCCCGUGGCCUUCCCAUGGCACACGCCAGCCCCCAUAUGGUCCCUCU